GUCACCACUGACUGCUGCACACGGAGGAAACGGUACGCUGCUCUCUCUCGGGCUGUGCUCAGAUCCUAUCUCUUAUCUCACCCGCCCUCGGUCUGUUUACACGCAAAACAGUCCGUUGUUGACUGGAAUACGAUACGAAGAUCCUGCUUCUAGGCAGGUUUUCUACACGUGUUCUACUGCUCAGUAUGCCAGAACGCAUGGACUAAUUUAAGGACGAUGGCUUCGUUGCGAAUGGUCGCCAAACUCCGGGCUGGAGUUGUCGGAUGUACUAAACCGUUCCGCUACGCACUCAAAACAACCCGAUCUCCGGUGAAAUUACUGCAUACGAUCCAUCCCAGACAGCCACAGUGGAGGUGUCCUCCCCAAGUGGUCUUCUGCAGUACUGUAGCACCCUCUUGUGAUGUGGUGUUGCAGUAUAAACAUGGACGACCGGUGCUGGCUGUGCCGCUACCCUCCAGGCAGGAGAGCUGUCUGUUCUUCCUCAGGCCCAUGUUAAUGACUGUAGGAGACCUCAUCCACGACCUGCAGAGAGAAGACCCAGGAGUCACCUCUGCCUCUGUGCACACCAAGGAUGGUGCACGGGUAGCUAACAGCACCUCUAUAGACAGUCUCCUGGACAAAGACUUCCAGCUCCUCAUCAAUGAUGCUGUAUACAACAUCCACUCCCCUGAAAGAGAGGCGUCCAGUGUGUCCAGUGAGCAUGUGGUGGACGUGGAGGACAUGAAGCACAUGGUGCAGCUGCUCCACACGGCCCUCCACCUGCCCGACCACCACCUGCUGAAGGAGAGGCAGCUGCUGGAGAGACUGGAUGGACUCAAACAGGACCUCUCACCUCUGGAACAGGUGAAGGCACAGCUGGCGCGCAGUGCAGAGUUCCACUCCUCCAGGACUCUGUGGACAGGUGUGGCCUUGCUGUCUGUGCAGGGCGGGGCCUUGGCCUGGCUCACCUGGUGGGUGUACUCCUGGGAUGUCAUGGAGCCCGUCACCUACUUCCUCACCUACUGCACCAGCAUCGGAGUCUUCUCCUACUAUGUCCUCACCAAGCAGGUACAGUACAGGACUGGAAGGACAGGAAGACCCAUGUCCAGCACGGUCUCAAUAGAAGUAGUCAAGACAGUGUCUCCCCCUUGUGUGCACAAAAAGUACUGUCACUACAGGGCACUUGAACAAAAGGCUUUCAUUUUCAUUUCAGUCACACCUGGUCUCCUUACAACAACUUGGAGUCGUCAAGUUCUCAUAUGUGACCUUCAUUGCCAUACGCUGUACAGUAUGAAGGCAGUAAUUAUCAGAGUUGAAUUCUAACUUUAGAUAACUGUGUGCAGUCAAACUUCUACAAACCGCUGCAUUGACAUCAAUGGUAUCUUAUAAAAGUACAGUACGAACUGUGUACAUCCACAACAAGGAGGCUGAUACAAACCAACAUUCCUCUGUUACGCUUCGAGGUGCAUCACCUGUAUUCUGAUCAUAUCUCCUAAUGACAUCCGUGCAUAAUUUACACAGAGGUUCAUGCAGUUAUCUCAAGUUAGAAUUUAAACUCAGAUAACUAUGAGCAGAAGUGAUACACAAGUUAGUCUGCACCAGAUGGAUCAUGGUUGUUGUCCUCUGUAGGAUUAUGUCUGUCCAGAUGGAUCAUGGUUGUUGUCCUCUGUAGGAUUAUGUCUAUCCAGAUGGAUCGUGGUUGUUGUCCUCUGUAGGAUUAUGUCUAUCCAGAUGGAUCGUGGUUGUUGUCCUCUGUAGGAUUAUGUCUAUCCAGAUGGAUCGUGGUUGUUGUCCUCUGUAGGAUUAUGUCUAUCCAGAUGGAUCAUGGUUGUUGUCCUCUGUAGGAUUAUGUCUAUCCAGAUGCCAAAGACAGGCAGUUCCUGUAUUACUUCCACAAGGGUGCCAAGAAGGAGCGCUUCAACGUGCAGAAGUACAAUGAGCUGAGAGAGGAGUUGGCUUCGGUGGAAGAAGAUUUGAGACGUCUAAGGAAUCCAACCCAACUUCAGCUCCCUGUAGAACAGAUCCAGAGCCAGCCAUGAAGAGCAGCACCACACACACACACUGUCAAACUGAAGGACUACUGAGCAGCAGCAUUUCUUCCCAUUUAUUUUGAUAACAAUGCAUUUCUUACUAACCCUGCAGAUCAUUUUAGAGUUUUGGUUUACACCGUUUACAAUGUUGGAAGUCAUUUGUGGUAAUAGAAGUAUAGUAAUAAAUAUGAGAAAGCAUCUUCCUGAAUACUAAUCAUAUUUUCUCUGCAUUCCUGGCCAUUGCAGUAAUUCAAUAUAGUAGCUAGUGUCAUUUCUAUAGAAGAGCAAAGUUAUGAAUAGUGAUGUGUAUAUAAUGAGAUGAUCCAUUCUGAAUGUUUACAAAGAUUAAGAGGAACUGAGACUGAACACAAAUUACAUUUCAAUAUUUUAUUGCACCUCAAUUCAGACUUUUGUUUCAAUCAUCAAAACCCCAAACAUAUUUCAACAGUUUUACAACUGCCAUUUUAUAAAUGAGAGAUUCUAACUCAAUAGGAGCCCCACGCACCUCUCCAAAUGCUAUUAGUGCAAACCCAAUCUCCCAAAAGGUCAGAGAUACAUUUCCCUGGUGGACCACAAAACAAGACAAGUACAUUACUCUUACUAAGCAGUGGUUCCUUAUAUUCACCCAUGGAGACUAAAAUGGUCCUCAUUUUCUUGAACAAUUCAGAAAUAGAAACAUGAAUUGGUGUCCAGCACUCAGGUUCACAUACAAAUGAGUAAUACCUCAUGCAUUGUCAUUGCUUUAGUAAAUAUCUCCCAGGUGACUAACAAUUAUUUAUUUUUUAAACAUGAGAUGGUCUGUUGAUUGGUACCCUGAGUUGUCUUAUCUGAGUUAUAUAAUGCACACUUGCGCAUAUUUUCUGGCUGAAGAAUAUGUCUGUAGUCAUGUGGUGUACAAAAAAGAUUGGUAGUGUUAAAGUUGUUCAGUAUUGGAGCGGCAGGUAGCCAAGUGGUUAGAGAUGCGAGCCAGCAACCGGAGGGUUUCCAAUCCCAGCCCAGAUGGAAUGU